CUCUUGGAUAAGGCUCUUUAUUUGUUUUCUGUCAUAGUAAGGACCUUAUCCGUAGAGAC
rnacentral:pre_miRNA from 1 species